ACAACUUGACUCUUAAUAUUUCCUGUGUUAUUUUGUUGACAGUUUCUUAGUUCUGAAAAGAAGCAUGAAGCACAUCAGUCUUUACAAUUUUCAUUUGAAAAACAAGUAUGGCAUGAAUUUGCUUAUAUGUGGAUGUAAGCUGUUCCAGCUUUGAUAAGCAGCCUUUUUAGAUCUAGAGAUUUGGGAUGAUUGUGAGGUGCGGAGGAUCUGGGAGAAUCAGCAGAACAGGAAACCAUAAUCAGAAUGUACCAUAUGAAAAAAACAGAAAAUAAAGUAUGACUCUUAAAAUAUUAAUUUAAACACAAUGCUGCUUACCAAAACUUGAAGAGAUUUUAGUGACCUUCUAAGUAUUCUUCCAGGGUCACAAAACUAGCUGGUAAUGGGUAACCUUUGUACCUUAACUCUUUAGAAAGAAUUUAUUAUUCACUUUUAGACAUUCUUCUCUCCACUUAAGCUUUGUGUCUAAGUUGUCUAAGGUGUCUAAGUUUUACCAUACAAAGAAAUGUACCAUACUGUGUUUUUGAUGUUAAAUUCAAUUACAUCAAGACAUGAUUAUUGUAUUAAGCAAGCAUGUAGCACCAAUUUUUGUAUCAUAUCCCAUUCAUAAAUGAAAAUGGAUUCCAUAUUUAGACUUCAAUAAACAAAUUUACCUUGAGAAAUAGUUUUCAUCUCAGUAAGACUAAAGCAAGCCUAUAUUUGAUUUAAACAAAGGACUAGUUAAAGUUAAAAUAAAAAAAUCAAAUAAAACUUGUCAACCAGUUUGUUGACAAAUUACUAGUCACUAAUUGCCAUUAUCUAUAUCAGAUAUAUUCUUACUUUUAUCCACAGAGAAGAUAGUAUAAGAAACGGAAAAUGCCCAAAUUUGAAGAAGUAGGUCACAGGCAGAAAUGUGGGUUGACCCUCUCUCCGGCUUGGAUUUAUUUUAAAGUCGGAGACUCUCCGUGAAGAUAAGGCAAUGAACGCAGUACAAAACAGAAGUAAACAAAAAUCGCCACUUUCUGAAGACCGUACCUGGACAGAGAGAAGUAAGAGGCAUGUUAAGAAGAACAGAACAGUACAGAACAGCAAAGCUAUGAAUGGAAAGACAGCUGCAGAGUAAA